UGAGAAGAGCCCAUUGUUUCAUGAAAAUCUGUAAAAGCCACUCUGGAGCGGGAAACAUGUUGGCUUAUUUCAGAGUUGUAGGCAAUGCUGAUAUCCAACAUGUUUGAAGAUGCAAGAGGCAUGCUGCAAGAGUGGAGAUGUGAAGGAGAGGAAGAGAAAUGAUGCAAUUUCUUUUUAGGCAAAGGACAAGGGUAGCCGAAAUGAACAGUAUGGGUGAGGACAUUUGUAUUAGGGGAUAAACAAAUGAGUCCCAUGCCCGCCUCUUUAAGUCUCUUCAAUGUACUGCUCAUUUCUCUUUUUUGAUUACCAGGUAGUGCAGUCCUCGGUCUCUUGGGGAGUACUUUUUUUCUGUGAUCUGGCACAAACGACCCUUCAGGGCUUAAAGACAAGCAGAAGACAGAUGAUCCAGGCAUGCACCUCUUAAUCAGGCUGUGGUAUUCGGCCUUCCAAAGAGCUAUUUAAAAAACACAUCUAGCAGAUCUCAGGCACCAAUAUCACAUCUUAUUUACUCUUAACCUUCGCUUUUGAAAAAUCUGAAGGAAUUUUCAAGUAAGCUGAGACCAAAGGAGAGGGUUGUCAAGGGAGCAGACACAUUUCAGAGACGCUCCCUGCACCUAUCUACAGAGAAGACACCAGAUAUGCAGAAACGACUCAAUACAAAGGUAAGCCGCUUCAGACCUAAUCUAGCAAAUUCAACUUGUCCUUCUUUGGUUGACACGUUCCUUCUAGAAAACAAUUUGCUAGUGAAACUUUAUGACUAUAAAGUAGUAUUUCACAAGGAAGAGAUUAGAUCCACCGGGUACAAGAAAUAAAAGCUUUUACUGAUUAAAGUUCGGAGUAAGUUCAUUUUGGAUGGCGACCACUGUUACCUGUGGGACAUCUCUACCAUGUAGUGGCUCG
rnacentral:lncRNA from 1 species